ACAGUCACACAUUAGAUACCCGGUAGUCCUGGCCGUAAACGAUGUGGACUUGAUGUUGGAAUGGCUCCGAGCUGCUCCAGUGCCGAAGGGAAGCUGUUAAGUCCACCGCCUGGGAAGUACGGUCGCAAGACUGAAACUUAAGGAAUGCGGGGAGCACCACAACGCGUGGAGCCUGCGGUUUAAUUGGAUUCAACGCCGGACAUCUCACUAGGGCGACAGCAGAAUGAUGGCCAGGUUGAUGACCUUGCUUGACAAGCUG
rnacentral:rRNA from 1 species